UACCACAAGGAGUCUAAUUUGUGGGGCAUUUAGAUAAAAAGAAACCUAAUGCAUCAUGCAUUAUACAUCACGUGCAUUUGCGAUAAGGACUGGGAAUUGCAAUUAUUCCCCAUGAAUGAGAAAUUCCCUGUAUGUGUGGGGCAUAAACUCACCUUGAUUAAGUCCCUG
rnacentral:ncRNA from 1 species